rnacentral:tRNA from 1 species
GGGUGCGUAGCUCAGUUGGAUAGAGCACCAGAUUCCGGUUCUGGGUGUCGGGGGUUCAAGUCCCUUCGUACUCG